CACAUGAGCCCAGAAUAUUUAUCAUCACAGCCCACUAUAUAUACACUCUAUAUACAUCAAAUAUACAAUAUUAGUACACAACUAUACAACUAUUGAAAUGGCUUGGAGGCCAUAUAAGCUUGUAAGUCAACAGUCCCUUGGGGCUCUGAUAUUUAAUAUUACACGGUUAAGCUUAAGCUUUUCGCCGUAUAUCUAAUCUCCACUGCUAGAGUUAAGGUUUCAUCAACUUUAUAUGGAAUAUCAAUAUUAAAUUCUACUAGGUGCCUUGGCAGAGGAACUAUAGUGGAACACAUCGAAUAAAAUAAUGAGAGAGAGAUAUACCAUUGCCAAUUUGCCAUCACCAAGCAAGUUGAAUAAUCUCCCUGAUUUCAAUUACAUUGCUCAUAUGACUCCUAAUCCCCCUAUACAAAUUGGUAAUUCACUUUUACCCAAUAUAUGUACGCUGAAACAUGUAUGAUUCUAGAAAAUAUACACCCCCCAUGUACUCAUUUUUUUCAAAAAGAAUAUGCUGG
rnacentral:lncRNA from 1 species